rnacentral:tRNA from 1 species
GCGAGAGUGGCGGAAUUGGUAGACGCGCUAGCUUCAGGUGUUAGUGUCCUUACGGACGUGGGGGUUCAAGUCCCCCUUUCGCACCA